UACGGAGGGGGCGAGCGUUUUUCGGAAUUAUUGGGCGUAAAGGGCGCGUAGGCGGCUGGGCAAGUCAAAGGUGAAAUCCCUCGGCUCAACUGAGGAACUGCCUUUGAAACUGCCUGGCUUGAGGCCGGGAGGGGGUAGCGGAAUUCCCAGUGUAGCGGUGAAAUGCGUAGAUAUUGGGAGGAACACCAGUGGCGAAGGCGGCUACCUGGACCGGUUCUGACGCUGAUGCGCGAAAGCGUGGGUAGCAAACAGG
rnacentral:rRNA from 1 species